UCGAUGGUUCAGUGGUAGAAUGCUCGCCUGCCACGCGAGGGGCCCGGGCUCGAUUCCCGAUUGA
rnacentral:tRNA from 1 species